rnacentral:lncRNA from 1 species
GGAGACAAUGAAUGUUCUUGGAUUUGAUCUUAAUGACACCAGUGUCACUGCCUCCAGAGGAGCUCUGCUUGUUACUGCAUCUGUGGAGGUAGGAGAAACAUAUGUUAAAAAAAUGAACUUUUUAGUAGCAAUGAAAAACUAUUGCCUAAAUAUGUCAGGAUUUGUAGUAGUAGAAAAAAGAUAUCUUGCUUAGCAUCUUGUACUGUGUGUGCUAAAAUAUAAGAACAUAAACAAUUAGUUAAUCUUUCUAUGUAUUUUCAGGUGGUUCGCGGUGGACUAAAUGAAGCUAAUCAAAUCAGAGAGAUCUUGCUGGAGAUCAUCCGCGGAAUCUAGAGAAACUAGCACCGGCAUGAGUCCCUAAUUAAUCCAGUAGAUUCGGAAGUCCUCUACUGGCUUUAGUGUCGCUUUAGUACUCUAUUACCUAUAUUAUAUCCCAAGAGGAAUUUAAAAUUUUUGGAGAAAUGCCAGAGUACCUUUAUAGUUUCUGAAUGUCAAAAGGACUUAAUCAUGUUUUCCAUCAUUGAAAGAUAGAUAGAUUUCUAUUAUAUCCAAGUUGUCUGGAAAAAGCUUGUGUGAACUGUUUUUUCUUUCAAAUAUUUGUCAAGUAACAUAUCAUAUGUUACUAACUACUUUCUCCUAUCUUAAUUCUAUUGCAUUUUUCAUGCAAUCAAGUUUGACUUAAUUCAACUGAGGAAUAAUUUACUUUAAUUUGAAUCUUCCAUGGUGGGAUCCAUACUCCAAGCCUUUUGGCUUCUAUAAGUGAAACAUUGAAUAAGUAGUAUUUUUGGUCACUUCCAACUAAAUGAUAAAGCUGUUACACAAUCAAAUAGCCCGACAGGGUAGCAGCGGAAAAUACCCAAGAUUAAACUUUUCCUUUCAACUUGAACCAAGAGGAGACAAGCAAAUCAAGCAAAACAAAGUAAUAUGGUAGCAAAUGAAUUACCACACAAAUGCGAUAGGACAAGAAUAAAGGCAAUCACACAAGACACCAAAUUUACGUGGAAAACCCUUCAAUGUGAAGAGUAAAAAAAUACGGGACCAAACCUCCACUAUAAUCACCAAAGAGUUGCAAUAUUGUUCUCCAAAAUGGCAACCAAACAAGUGUCAACCAACAAGAAACAAUACAUAAACCACAGCACCAAGCACUAGAGAAAUAAAGGAGUGAAAGUACAAAAAAUGCAGCUACUGUUCGGGAAUGAAGAACAGAAGCUACAGGUCAUCAAAUCAAGCUCCGUCAGUUCCUAAUCAAAUAUUGAGAUGAGAGGAACAAGCAGUCCAAAAAUCAGCUCAAUCGUACAAGAAAUGAAGCGGUAAUCGCAAUUUGAAGUUGACAGCUGUGGCUAAAAUUUAGGUGCGAAAAUUAGCUUUGUUUUUCUCUCUUUGGCUAUUGAAAAUUCUCUUUUUGUAAUAUGCCCCAUAGUAAUGGGCUUAUGGGCAAAAGUGGAUUGGUCCAAAUUGGGUUUCAUUUAUCCAUAUAGGAAUAACCCGACAAAAGCGAGCACAUUGAGUGUCCUCCGUGUUUGAAUAAGAUAUUGAACAAACACCAAUAUAAGACGUGUGAACAGUAAAAUUUAUGGCAAAACUUCUACCUAUAUAUAAUACAGCAAGACAUUUGUUACACUGUCUUUCUUGUUUUCUUCUCUGUUCUUUGACCGCUGUCAUCCUCAAUGAACUGCCAAAAAUAAACCUGCCUCAAGCAUAGCCUGCCCGUGUUAAAACUUCCUCCGACUGGUUCAACAAACACAAAAAAAAAAAAAGAAGAAGAAGAAGAAAAGACUACUUGAAAAAUCAAAUCAGAGUCAAAUAUUCAUAAUUUAAGACGAUGGAAGUGUACCUGCCGGUCUUAUAAAAUAAACAUGAAAACGAUUCUCUCAAGUCUAUAUUAGUACUAGGACUUUAACGCGUGCACAAUUGAAUCAAUAUUCAUAUUUCCAUGGCUAGGCUUAGGUUUCUCCUCAUUUGCCUAGUUUUAGCUCAAAUUUUGCUUAUGCAAAAAGUUAACGCGCUUAGAAAAUUAGACACCUCGACAUCAGUCCCAAGUUCUGCGCCAGGAAGAGGUGAUCAAGCUCCAGCAGUCACACAUGUCAGGACUCAUCACUCUUUCAACAAGUCCGUUGUUGGUGGAGACGUGAUCCUUGGCGGCUUUGCCACCGCUCUUAUUGCUUCCAUUUUUUGUUACAUUCGAGUCACAAGAAGAGGAAACCAACAUGGUCAGGGCUGAGCCACAGCAUUUUUAAUUUUGUACUCCUUUUGGUUUCCAAAUUAAACAUAUACACAGGGUGCAGUUCAGUGUGAAGGUGCAUCUACUCAAAUAUAGAACAACAUUUUGCUCAUUUUAGAUGGCGGGAUAAUCUAAUCAGACACAUUCUUGCUAGUCGCAUUUAAAUCUAGUCUAUUUUGUUUUCUAGACAUGUUCUUUUAUUUUUAUUUUUAAAGAUAUUCUUCCGGCAACAUAUAUACUUGCGUAAAGCAUCUAGUACCUAUGAACUUUGACCAAAUUUGCUAUAACACAC